rnacentral:misc_RNA from 1 species
CAGACGUGCGUUCGCACCUUUCGGGUUUCUUUCAGAGCACCGAAAGCCCCAAGGCGCACUCAGCUGCGCCCCCUCCCCUCCCCUUUUUUCUCGAUCCACCCUAUGCGACGCCGCUUUGCGGUCGACACACACUCAACCCCUUCGACGCGCAUUUGCCAUUUUACCUCACAGUGCUUCCGUAGUGGCUCGGCAGCACAUCCUUUCUCUUUCUCAUUCCUUGUUGCCCAAGAGGACAGCCCGUUAGAUGAGCGACGACAGCGUUUAUGCACUGAGAGGCACGUCUGCCCUUUAUGAGGUCCUCGGUGUCUCGCGGAACGCCACGCAGCGCGAGAUUCGCCAGGGCUACUAUAGGCUUGCGGUGCUCUACCACCCCGACAAAAACCCAGAAGGGUCGGAUGUCUUCAAAGAGGUUUGCUUUGCCCAUGGAAUUCUCUCUGACCCAGAGCAGCGUGCCUUGUACGACAGCGGCACGCUGCGUGCAGAGCUCGAGUCGAGGGCGCGUGCCUGCUGCCCUUCCAUGGACCCAGGUGUGGAGCUGAGCCCAGAGGACCUGCGUGUUUUUGUGGACCGCGUGCGACAGACUCAGGAGGCCAAUCGGCAGGUGCAGUCUACCUUUGAGCUGAGGCGCGAGGAGGAGAUGAAGCGAAGGGCAGAGUUUGAUGCCAAGAAUCCGGCCUUUAAGUCGGAGUAUGAGCAGGCGCGCCGCCGGCGACAUCAUGCCUGCGGAGGCUCCACUUCUGCAGCCCAUGCACAUGCUUCCGCCACUGUAGACCUAUCAAAGACAGUACCACCCAAGGUGCGCACUUCCGCUGAGGUUCUGGCUGAGCUGCAGCGGGAGGAGGAAGAGCGCCUCUAUGGAAAUCCUGGAAUCGGCCCUGCCAACUCAAGCAGCGGCAAAGUAGCGGUGAGCGACGGCCUCUCUACGAAGCAUCACAUGCUGUCGCACUAUCGCGCCGCUCACAGCGAAGCUAGCGGAGCCGAAAGUCUUAGCAGCUUCUACAGCGGUGGCAGCGCCUCAGCCACCCUGCGACGCCGCCAACUGCAAACCACUAGCUUGCCAUUUGUCAGGGCGCACUGCGAGAAGCCUCAAUACAGCGAAACGAUUAGUGCGACGGUGCAGGCGUAUGCAAACUAUGACUACCUCACUUUCGUUGAAGGGGGUAGUAUGGAUCACGGGGAACUGGAGGGGGCGAUCAUGGCCGAUGCCUUGGGCAACUACGACCGACACCACUGAUGCUCACCGCACCGCACCUUUUCUUUGAGGGAACAAGAAAGGACAGGCAGGACGUGGGUAAGAGGAUCGAUAAGCAGUUAUUUUUGUUUUCCUCUCCUUUCUCUCAAACUGUGAUGACGGGAGGGCGGCACCUCGGUGCGCGGCAUCAAGGCCCAGCAGCACCCACUCGGUGGAGAGGCCUGGCAGUCCCCUUAUACAUGCCGGCGCCGAGCCACCCUUCAUGGUGGCAGGGUCAGGCGCCUACGACGUAUGGGGGCCAGAGCGACUUAUCGCUAAUGAUGUCGGCGGUGAGGUGCUGGAUGGCGCUGCGUUGGGGAGAGAUCCGCCACUGUGCGCACGCCUGUGCCGUCCGUAUGCUGGGCGGAGUGUCAGCGUGACUCGAACGUGUCCCACCCGGCCCUCGCACUGCCUGCUGGUGUAGGGAAGCCUGAGCGACCUCGGGCGAUGCAUCGCGUGGCGGUCAGCAUGGCUGGGGGCGACGGUGAGGCAGCCUGCGAGGCGGGGGCGGGGGGUGUUUGGGGCGCAGACGCUGCCCGCAUGCCUGAGCUGGCGCAUUGCCGCCACGCGUGUGCGCGGCUGCUUCGCGGCGUGCGAUGGGUCUCUGACGGGGCGGGCGGGGCGGGGCUCAACGUGUGUGCUGUGGCGGCGUGGACACGGUGAGAGAAAGCUCUUUUUUUGAAGUAUAAGUCUUUACUGCUACGCCGAUGGCGCUCAUUCUUACUGGGACGAUGUACAGCGAUUCAGCCUUUUCUUUGCGUUCGCGCUUCCUUUUUUCCCUGUAAAUGCCGUCACACCGAGCUCUCCAGCGCUCGGACGCACAAAGACACAUCAUAUGUACGCUGCCGCCAUGCACCUACUGUAAAAAAUGCGCCUCAACAUCGUAGUAAGAAAAUGAAACAGCUGAGGAGUCGGGAGCGGCUGUAGAGGCGCGUACGCACGUUCUGAGGCAGGUCUCUCUGCGCUUGCUUAAUCAAGUUCGACGAUGUUCUUCUCUCUGCGGGUUGCGCAAACGGCUCCCUUUUCUUUCAGCUGCGUCCCAGGGGUGUUUUAGAGCUCUCUGCCCCUUCCCACCGCGAUGCACAUGUAAGGUAUAUUAUUGCCAUCGCGGUGGAACAGAGAUCUUGGCCCACGAACAACUGCCACGUGUCAAUGCAAUUCCCACAUGGGAGCAGUCG